GUGAGCUAGAGUAAUAGAUGAAAAUACAUUAGAAUGAAAAGCAGUGUACGGCACAACCACUUUGAGGAUACUGGCCAUAUGGGAUCCGUGCCUCAGAGAAGGGGUGGUUAGUGUUGUCAAAUUGUUGUUCCUGGUGUUCUCAGCAUGUUUGUGUAUGUUCAGCGUACUCCUGUGGCUUCUACAACCUGAAACAUCUGCACAUUUCACAGACGGUAUUAAAGUAGAUAUUGCUUAGGAAUGCGGUGCAAAAGUGAAACGUAACAUGCUCAUCGAACAUCCUUAAAGGGGCUGUCCCUUUUCAGGAGGAAACCAGACAACCCUCAGGAACCAACAGCAAUAAAGAACUGAUCAGUACAUGACAGUUCCGGAAGAUCCCAAGGGCCAUCAGACAACCCCUUAAAUUCUGUAAAUUUACAAGACUGAGGACAUGCAAAACACAAAGCAGCGACCACAGAGAUAAACAACGUUUCUGGACUUCCUGAACUAUACAUAAUAUAUUUUUGUGUUACCUCAAAUCAAUAGCUGUGUGGACAAAUACACUAUGGAUUUAGACGGUUGUUUUCUGAAGGACUCAUUCAUCGAUGGUCUGUAAAUGUUCUUGUUUUAAACAACGUCAGAAGUUAAACUGACAUCUCCAGAGAUAUGCGACUACUCAAUGACAACACCUGACAACGACUAAAAAAAAACAACCCAACACAGCAAAUCAAAUUUUUUUAUGGAUAUCUGCCUUUCACCUGCCAUAAAAAGGAUGCAA